AGAAUUGAACGACAAAAAACCUACGAAGAAAAACCAACGAAAAAAACCCUCGAGCUCCGACGGGAACGAGGCUCCCCUCGAUCUCAAACAACGCUAGGGUUUGCCCAGCCGCCACACUCCGCGCUGCCGCCCAAGGCCCGCUCCGCCCCCACCGCUCCCCGCAACGCCACUGCCGGAGGGCCGGCCGGCGAAGCCGCGCCGCGCCCAGGGACAGAAGCGGCGGGGCGGUUCCGUCUCCCUACCUCCUGCCAGAGCCCCCACCCCACCAUACGUAGAUCUGGCCGGGAGCCCCGCCGCCGAUGAGGGCCACACCGGAGAUCUCGCGCAACCUACCUGCCUCCUGUUUCCUCUCCGUUCUCCUCCUUCUCUCUCCAACCCUUGUUCAUCCGCGGCCGUAGCUCGCCCUGAUUCAUGGCCCUCUCCUUCCGCCAACUCUGGUCCGUCACCAGUCGUCUGUGGCGCGAGCGUCGCGCCUCCUCCUCAACCUCCUCGAUCCGGGAUGCCCUAACUGCACUGCGCACUUGCGCCUCGCGAGCCAUGGCCACCUUUUGCCGAGCUGCGGGAUCGACGUCUGACCGCCACCACGACCGGCCUCUUGCGAAGGUCCCGGUCGCCGUCUCCUGUGCCUUUGGACCUUGGGAGCGACUGGGUGAUUAUAUGCCAGAGUUGAUUUGGGAUGUAGAGAUUAAAGAACAGCAAAAUCAUAAGCCAUCGGGUCAGGACGUCAGGUUCAGAAUUGUCUUGGCAUCUUCCAGUGUGGCGACAAUGUUGAUUGUCGGGAUUUGAAGAUAAGUGUGCUCCAUACCGUGGCUGAGCCUGUCGGUUUCGCACAGUGGCUGCACGACACCUCAUGGAUCAGAAUUGUUGGUUGUACAGUUAGUAUGCACGCAUGCGUCCCUGAUUUGGAGCAUGCCUCUGGCCUGGUAGGAUUCUCGCUCUGCCCCGACCUCAAGGGCGUUCCUCUAUCUGUGUCGUGCUCGGGACCAUGCACUAAUGCAGGUGCGGUUCUUCAGCUUUUCUUUGUCUUUUUCUUGGUAUGUAUAUCUCUCAAUCUUGUGAGCCGUGAUUUUCAUGCUGCCAUGUAUGCCAUUGUGUCCUGUAUAAUGAUUCUUCUUAUUAUUUUUGAAUGGCAUAAUUAUUCUUAUUGAGGCACUGCCGCUGCCUAAUUUGCUUAUAGAAAUAACAUACUAAUUAAUACAGGGAGAGAGUACGAUUUUUUGACACAAUCUGCAGUACCCGUGAGCCUGCCCAUAGGUAGAUAUGGAUACAUUUUGUAGCUUCCAUUCUUGUUUUCUCUCAUUAAAAUUAUGGAUUUGGAAACUAAUCAUGGAGUGUCUAGAUUGCCUGCUAUAUUACCAAGUGCGUUGAAGGAAAAGCUGCUGCCACUGUUGAUGACCACUCUAGGUGAUAUAAUUCAUGUUUGCUUUGUUGUUUCAGUAACUUCCUGUAGCAUAUUGGUUCCAUCUUUUUUUUUGCAUCAUGGUACAUUAUUCUUAUCUUGAUAUAUAUCAUUUGGUCAACUGAAGAUUUGAGUGCAGAGUAGAAUUCUUGGUUGAUUUUAGAAUUUCGUUGUUGAUUAGUUGGCCAACAGACUUUUAUGAAAUUCAAGGCGUCAUUUAGUGUACUAUAUGUCAUAUUUGUCUUAUUUCUAUACUCACAAUAUUUCCGCAUCAUCUGAACAAAUGAUGCUAAAUUGAUAUAAUCAUUUUGGAUCAGUGUCAUCUUCUCAAUGCUGAACAGCCAAAAUAUAUACAUAGUGAGCAUUCCGCCGCACAUGCUCAUACGUCAUAUUUAUGUACUGUUUAACAGGGCAAAAAUUGGUCAAAUGUUUAAACAUUUCUACUGUUUAACACAACCAAAGUAUAUACAUAAUGAUCAGUCCUCCGCUGCAUGUUAGAUCCAGCCUCCCUCCCUUGACACCAUUCUUCUUACUGAUUAUUAUUUAUUUUAAAAAUAUCUUUAGUUUUAUUUUCUAGCUAUUUCAAUUCAUUUGUAUAUGGUUAGUUCCAUCGCACUACGAGGAUGAUCCAUGGCUGGUCGCGGAUGAUCACCUGCGAGGACGAUUCAUGGCCGGUUGGGGAUGGUCAGUUCCAUCACACUGCGAGGAGAUGAUUCAUGGCCAGUCGGGGAUGGUCACCUGCGAUUUUUGUACCCACAGCCCGAAGGCCAACCUUAAUACUGGACCUCGAAAGGGGCAUGUGGCCAACCAUGCCGGAGGACGCAGAGUUGUUGUUUGGGAAUGUUAUCAUCAGAGGACCCAAGAAGCAACCCACCACGGAUGCAUGGACCAACCACGCAAGUCCAUUCUUGCAAUCCAUCUGUGGCGAGGGUUCAUGACAGACAAGCCAAUAGAUUUGGGGGUCCACUUCCCGGUGAAACAAAUGUUCAUUGCGGACAAUACGAAGACGAUGAUUGGUACAAUGAGAUAUUUUCUGGCUCCGCCACUGGUUCAUACUCGUACCACACCGUGGGAAGGUUAUGGCCAAGAAUGAGCUGGAGGUUAUUGCUUUGGCGACGCUGGAGGCCGUUCACGCGAAGAGGAGAUGUGCCUGGUGAUGAGAAGUCUUAGACCACCGGUGAGUUUUGCUUCCUAUCAAUUCAGCAGUGUGUGUACAUGUUUAGAAUUGUUGGCUACAAACACUUGAAUUAUCUCCAAUCAUGUACUUCAGGUUCUACCAUCUUCCAUAUUUACCAUGUUUUGUCACUUAACAAAAUUUACAUAACUAUUUUGUGUAUGUAUGCAAAAUUCUGGUUUAGAAACUUAAUGCAGAAUUAUGAACAAAAUUAUCAUUUAGUACUAAGAAUUUACAUUUAUCAUAAGAAAUGGCAAACUCAUAGGUAUUUCAAUCUAGAAAUUACAAUGCAAUGUUCAGGGAAGAUGGUGAGCUUCUAAUUAGCGGUCACUUUAUUCUGUUGAAACCGAAAGAUAUGGAUGAGCCAUGAUAAUGAGUGUUAGGGGAUUGGAUGGCACAGCGUAAAAAGAUAUCAUUUUUACUAAAUAACUUCAUUUUCCGCAGAAACUUCCUUGCACUAAACUUACAAUAUUGGCUUCUCCAGAUGUACAUAAGCUAUUAGCUCUUAGCUCUAUUUAAUUCCACUCAUAUUUACGAAAGUGCUCUUUUGAUCCCGAGUUCACAAUCUCCUUGAUGAACAGUAAAAUCCAAAAAAUUAGUUAAAGAAUUCAAAAAAAUUCUGGAUUUAAACAUCAAUGAAAGUUUGAACUUCCUGCAAAUUUUGGUGAUGAAAUAACAUUGGUGGAUGUCUUGACAAAAAGAAAAAAAAUCGAUGCUCCAAAAUGCUUCCGAGAGCAAAUCUUUUGGAUCGUCGAUUUUUUUUGCCCAAACCUACACGAAUGUCAUUUCAUCAAAAGCAUUUGCAAGAAGUUAAAACUUUCAUAAUUUUUUAUUAAAAAAUCAGAUUUUUUAAUAUAUUUUUACUGUGUUUUCGGAUUUUAUAGUUCAUCAAGGAGCAUGUGAGCUCCUGUUCAAAUACUACACGUCUUCAUAUUUAUUCCUAUUCUCCUUUUGUCAUUUUUUACAUCUAGGCAUAUAGUGUUUUGCUGUGUCUCAAAGUUUUACCUUUUUAAAAGUGAUAUGUGUUUAUAUUUUGUGGAUGUUUUUGUUGCUGGUAUAUAUUCUCAAGUGAUAAUCAUCAUAUCUUGUCAAUCUCUAUGUUAUGAGAGGUAUAAAAAUAUAAUCGGAUCUAAAUUUGAUAGUAUGCUACCUUGGCCAAUAUACUGCAUCAUGUGAAGGCUGCAAGGUUGCACCUUGGAGUUCAAAAUUUGGUGUCUUCGCAUUGAAGGAUCCAAUCCAUCGACUUUGCAGUUUGAACAUGUCACUUGUGAUGGGGAGAGGAAGAGAUGACUUGCAUACACUGGACAAUGAGUGUGUUAGUAGCGUGGUGGCUCAGGACUGUACAAGUUGUAGUAGCCCCUUCCCUUAUAAAUGGUUUCUUUUGAUUGGAAGCACCUUAUAAUUAGCUAAUAUAUGGAUUUCAUUUACAUCGUCUGUCCAAGUAUGCGAGGCCCAUGAGACGGGCAUUAAUCACUUCUCUUUUUUGUCAGUAUUUUGAUAGGGGACCUAUGUAUAUGGGAAGGAGCACCAAUUUAAGGAUCCUCAUGUUUUCUUACUUUUCAACACUUAUUUGUGAUUUUGUUCACAAGUUUUCAAUUUCAUUCUGUAGAAUGAAGAUAAUAUUUUUUUUGUAUUUUUUGUCCAUGUAGAGGAUACAAGACAUCAUAUUAAGUAAUCAAUUAAUGAAAUAAUGAAUUAAUUUAUGUA